rnacentral:ribozyme from 12 species
UUUUUUUUUUUUUUUUUUUUUUAAUAAAAGAAUGUGUUUAAAUUUAACCAGGGCUGGACUAGGAUGCUUGAUUGGCGUUCAUACAAAAAGUAAAUA